GCCUUGCUAGCUUUGUUGGUAGAACAUGAGCCUCUUAAUCUUAGGGGUGUGGGUUCCAGCCCCAUACAGUGGUA